UAAUACGUAGGGUGCGAGCGUUAAUCGGAAUUACUGGGCGUAAAGCGUGCGCAGGCGGUUUGGUAAGACAGGCGUGAAAUCCCCGGGCUUAACCUGGGAACUGCGCUUGUGACUGCCAGGCUAGAGUACGGCAGAGGGGGGUGGAAUUCCACGUGUAGCAGUGAAAUGCGUAGAGAUGUGGAGGAACACCAAUGGCGAAGGCAGCCCCCUGGGUCGAUACUGACGCUCAUGCACGAAAGCGUGGGUAGCAAACAGGAUUAGAUACCCUGGUAGUCCACGCCCUAAACGAUGUCAACUAGGUGUUGGGUGGGUAAAACCAUUUAGUACCGUAGCUAACGCGUGAAGUUGACCGCCUGGGGAGUACGGCCGCAAGGUUAAAACUUAAAGGAAUUGACGG
rnacentral:rRNA from 1 species